rnacentral:lncRNA from 1 species
UUGAACUGAUCUUCUCGUAAUAGAUUCUUCUUCUUCAAGUAAAAUCUCAAUCUUAAGAACCUCAAUCAACUCUUUGAUCUAGACUACGGAAUCAACUCCUUGAUCUAGCAGUCUUCUUCUUCUCCUCGUUCUUCACUUUUGAAGAAAAAUCACCUCAACCUUUGGCAUGUGGAAAGUGGGAUGCCCAAGCCUUGGGUGUGGAAGAGAAAAAAGGGAGGAGGUAAGGUGU